rnacentral:lncRNA from 1 species
GCACUAAAAGUCUGUUUUUGUAUGGUGUGUGUUUGUGUGUGUUUGUGUGUUUUGUGUGUGCAUGUUUUUUGUGUGUGUUGUGUUUUGCUGUGUGUGUGUGUGUGUGUGUGUUGUGUGCGCAUUGUGUUUGGUGUGUUUGCGUUUGUUGUGCUUUACUUGUGUGUGGGCUGUUUUGUGUGUGUGCACUUUGCGAGCAUGUGCAUCUUUACUUUUGUGUGUGUUUGGUGGGGUGUGUGUGUGUAUGUGUGGUGUGUCUAUUUUGUGUGUGUUUGUGUGCAUGUGUAUUUGUGUGUGUGUGUUUGCGUGCAUGUUUUUUUGUGUGUUUUGCAUUUGGUGUGUGGUGUCUUGUUUUUGUGUGUGUGUGUGUUUGUGUGUGCUUUGCAUGCAUGUGUAUGUAUGUGUGUUUUGUGUGUGCAUGUUUUUUGUGUGUUUUGCGUUUUGUUGUGUGUGUCUUUGCGUGUGUUGUGCUUUACUUGUGUGUGUGGUGUUUUGUGUGUGUGCACUUUGCAUGCAUGUGUAUAUUUACUUGUGUGUGUGUGUUUUUUGCAUGCGCGUGUGUGUGUGUGUGUGUGUGUGUGUGGUGGUUUGUGUUGUUUUUUUGUGCAUUGUGUAUGUGUGUCUUGUGUAUGUGUGUCUUGUGUAUGUCUGUGUUUUGCGGUUUGUGUGUGUGCUGCGUGUGUGCGCCUGUUUUGUGCGUUGCUUGUUUUGUGUAUGUGUGUUGUGUAUGUCUGUGUUGUGUGUAUGUGUGUGUUUUUGUGUGUGUUUUGUGUAUGUGUGUGUGUGCGCCUGUUAUGUGCUUUUUGUUUUGUGCUUUUUGUUUUGUGUGUUACUGUGUGUGUGUGUGUGUGUAUGUAGUGUAUUUUGUGUGUGUGUGUGUGUGUGUGUGUGUGUGUGUACAGAAUAGCUGGGUGUUUGUUUCGUUACAGUUGAGCAGGUCUUUUGCCUCCGGCAGGAAUGUAUGAACGUGUGUAGAUGCAUGAGCUCUCUUGUGAACUCAUGCAUGUAUAUAUUUGUGUGUGUAGUGUGUGUGUGUGUGUGUGUGUGUGUGUGUGUGUGUGUACAUUCUAGCACAUUUCUCCCUGUGACUCAGUAAAAAACACAAAUAAAUUGGUGCUU